rnacentral:rRNA from 1 species
UUCAUAUACGGGCUAAAUGCAGUCAGCGGAUGACGGAGCUUGCUCCUGGAUUCAGCGGCGGACGGGUGAGUAAUGCCUAGGAAUCUGCCUGGUAGUGGGGGACAACGUUUCGAAGGGAACGCUAAUACCGCAUACGUCCUACGGGAGAAAGCAGGGGACCUUCGGGCCUUGCGCUUUCAGAUGAGCCUAGGUCGGAUUAGCUAGUUGGUGAGGUAAUGGCUCCCCAAGGCGACAAUCCUAAACUGGUCUGAAAGGAUGAUCAUUCACCCUGGAACUGAAACACGGUCCAAACUCCACCGGGAGGAGGCAGUGGGGAAUCUUUGAAAAGGGGCAAAAGCCUGAUCCAGCUAUGCCGCGGGUGGUGAAAAAGGGCUUACUAUUGUCAAGCCUUUCACGUUGGGAGGAGGGGCAUUACCCCAUUCCGUUAGUGUUUAGCCGUACCCCACAGAAUAGUAACCCGGAUAACUCUCCCCCUUAUCCGCGGAAAUAUGAAGGGUGCGGCAUGAAAUCGGAAUUGUUAAGUUGGAUGUGAAAUCCCCGGGCUCAACCUGGGAACUGCAUUCAAAACUGACUGACUAGAGUAUGGUAGAGGGUGGUGGAAUUUCCUGUGUAGCGGUGAAAUGCGUAGAUAUAGGAAGGAACACCAGUGGCGAAGGCGACCACCUGGACUGAUACUGACACUGAGGUGCGAAAGCGUGGGGAGCAAACAGGAUUAGAUACCCUGGUAGUCCACGCCGUAAACGAUGUCAACUAGCCGUUGGGAGCCUUGAGCUCUUAGUGGCGCAGCUAACGCAUUAAGUUGACCGCCUGGGGAGUACGGCCGCAAGGUUAAAACUCAAGGAGCAUGUGGGGGCCCCGGCCCCAACCGGAGGGAGCAUGUUGUUUUUUUUUUGAAGACAACGGCGAAGUACUUUCCCACGGCCUUGACAUUCCGAUGAAGUUUUCCAGAAGAGGAGUGGUUUCCUUCGGGAACAUGGAGACAGGUCCUGCAUGGCGCUUGUCAGCUGCGUGUCGUGAGAUGUUGGGUUAAGUCCCGUAACGAGCGCAACCCUUGUCCUUAGUUACCAGCACGUAAAGGUGGGCACUCUAAGGAGACUGCCGGUGACAAACCGGAGGAAGGUGGGGAGGACGUCAAGUCUUCAUGGCCCUUACGGCCUGGGCUACACACGUGCUCCAAUGGUCGGUACAGAGGGUUGCCAAGCCGCGAGGUGGAGCUAAUCCCACAAAACCGAUCGUAGUCCGGAUCGCAGUUUGCAACUCGACUGCGUGAAGUCGGAAUCGCUAGUAAUCGCGAAUCAGAAUGUCGCGGUGAAUACGUUCCCGGGCCUUGUACACACCGCCCGUCACACCAUGGGAGUGGGUUGCACCAGAAGUAGCUAGUCUAACCUUCGGGAGGACGGUUACCACGGUGGAUUCAUANCGGGGGAAGUCAACAAGAUCAGCUGAU